ACCAUCAUCUUUUAUUUACAUGAGUUCUCUCAUCUCUAUUUUUGGAGGCUGGGAGAUAAAUCAUGGACCAAAGAGAAUGAUAUAUAUGCCUCCUCUUAUACGAAAAUCCUCAGAUUCCAAGAGCAAUUCUAUGCUUUAAAUGAUAAAAUGCAUUUAGUGUGCUUCCAAGUUUGUCCAUUUCGGGUCGGAGAUUUGGAUGUGCC
rnacentral:lncRNA from 1 species